rnacentral:rRNA from 1 species
AUUGAACGCUGGCGGCAGGCCUAACACAUGCAAGUCGAGCGGCAGCGGGAAGUAGCUUGCUACUUUGCCGGCGAGCGGCGGACGGGUGAGUAAUGUCUGGGAAACUGCCUGAUGGAGGGGGAUAACUACUGGAAACGGUAGCUAAUACCGCAUGACCUCGCAAGAGCAAAGUGGGGGACCUUCGGGCCUCACGCCAUCGGAUGUGCCCAGAUGGGAUUAGCUAGUAGGUGAGGUAAUGGCUCACCUAGGCGACGAUCCCUAGCUGGUCUGAGAGGAUGACCAGCCACACUGGAACUGAGACACGGUCCAGACUCCUACGGGAGGCAGCAGUGGGGAAUAUUGCACAAUGGGCGCAAGCCUGAUGCAGCCAUGCCGCGUGUGUGAAGAAGGCCUUAGGGUUGUAAAGCACUUUCAGCGAGGAGGAAGGGUUCAGUGUUAAUAGCACUGAACAUUGACGUUACUCGCAGAAGAAGCACCGGCUAACUCCGUGCCAGCAGCCGCGGUAAUACAGAGGGUGCAAGCGUUAAUCGGAAUUACUGGGCGUAAAGCGCACGCAGGCGGUUUGUUAAGUCAGAUGUGAAAUCCCCGAGCUUAACUUGGGAACUGCAUUUGAAACUGGCAAGCUAGAGUCUUGUAGAGGGGGGUAGAAUUCCAGGU